rnacentral:rRNA from 1 species
UCGAACGAUGAUCCCAGCUUGCUGGGGGAUUAGUGGCGAACGGGUGAGUAACACGUGAGUAACCUGCCCUUGACUCUGGGAUAAGCCUGGGAAACUGGGUCUAAUACCGGAUAUGACCAUCUGACGCAUGUCAUGGUGGUGGAAAGCUUUUGUGGUUUUGGAUGGACUCGCGGCCUAUCAGCUUGUUGGUGGGGUAAUGGCCUACCAAGGCGACGACGGGUAGCCGGCCUGAGAGGGUGACCGGCCACACUGGGACUGAGACACGGCCCAGACUCCUACGGGAGGCAGCAGUGGGGAAUAUUGCACAAUGGGCGGAAGCCUGAUGCAGCGACGCCGCGUGAGGGAUGACGGCCUUCGGGUUGUAAACCUCUUUCAGUAGGGAAGAAGCGAAAGUGACGGUACCUGCAGAAGAAGCGCCGGCUAACUACGUGCCAGCAGCCGCGGUAAUACGUAGGGCGCAAGCGUUAUCCGGAAUUAUUGGGCGUAAAGAGCUCGUAGGCGGUUUGUCGCGUCUGCUGUGAAAGACCGGGGCUCAACUCCGGUUCUGCAGUGGGUACGGGCAGACUAGAGUGCAGUAGGGGAGACUGGAAUUCCUGGUGUAGCGGUGAAAUGCGCAGAUAUCAGGAGGAACACCGAUGGCGAAGGCAGGUCUCUGGGCUGUAACUGACGCUGAGGAGCGAAAGCAUGGGGAGCGAACAGGAUUAGAUACCCUGGUAGUCCAUGCCGUAAACGUUGGGCACUAGGUGUGGGGGACAUUCCACGUUUUCCGCGCCGUAGCUAACGCAUUAAGUGCCCCGCCUGGGGAGUACGGCCGCAAGGCUAAAACUCAAAGGAAUUGACGGGGGCCCGCACAAGCGGCGGAGCAUGCGGAUUAAUUCGAUGCAACGCGAAGAACCUUACCAAGGCUUGACAUGAACCGGAAAGACCUGGAAACAGGUGCCCCGCUUGCGGUCGGUUUACAGGUGGUGCAUGGUUGUCGUCAGCUCGUGUCGUGAGAUGUUGGGUUAAGUCCCGCAACGAGCGCAACCCUCGUUCUAUGUUGCCAGCGCGUUAUGGCGGGGACUCAUAGGAGACUGCCGGGGUCAACUCGGAGGAAGGUGGGGACGACGUCAAAUCAUCAUGCCCCUUAUGUCUUGGGCUUCACGCAUGCUACAAUGGCCGGUACAAAGGGUUGCGAUACUGUGAGGUGGAGCUAAUCCCAAAAAGCCGGUCUCAGUUCGGAUUGGGGUCUGCAACUCGACCCCAUGAAGUCGGAGUCGCUAGUAAUCGCAGAUCAGCAACGCUGCGGUGAAUACGUUCCCGGGC